UAUGCCCUAUGUGGUCUGAAGAUACUACUUGAUACAAGCUCGGAGACUUUUUGACCCUCUGAGGAAGAUUGCUUUUUCUCAGUCAAGGAGUUGCGCUGCGUUUCUCUCUUCGGGGUAACAGGGAUGGAAGUGGUGGGUCAGGCAAUAAGACAGGCGCAGUAGCAUGGAGAGAACUGUGUCUUGGAAGAUGGCCCCCUUCUGCUUCUCUUUACAAGAGCUGAGAGACCCUCUCCCAUCAAAAAAAGUUAUGCUCACAUGAGGGAAGGUGCCAGUGGAGGCCAGAAGAGAGCAUCAUAUCCCCUGGAGUUGAAGAGAUGGUGGUUGUGAGCCACGUGACAUGGAUCUGAGAACUGAAUUUGGGUCCUCUGCAGGAGCAGUAUAUGUUCAAAGCUGUUAAUCCAUCUUGCUGCUAAUUAAUGUUUUGUGGAUAUUUAUAAAUCAUGACAAA